rnacentral:rRNA from 1 species
GAUGAACGCUGGCGGCGUGCUUAACACAUGCAAGUCGAACGGAAAGGCGCUGCUUUUGCGGGGUUCUCGAGUGGCGCACGGGUGUGUAACACGUGAGUAUCCUGCCCUUGACUUUGUGAUAACUUCAGGAAACUGGGGCUAAUACCGGAUAGGAGAUCCUGCAGCAUGGUGGUGGUUGGAAAGUUUCGGCUGUUUGGGAUAGACUCGCGGCUUACGAGCUUGUUGGUGGGGUAGUGGCUUACCCAGCGUUCGACGGAUAGCCGGCCUGAGAGGGUGGCCAGGCACAUGGGGCCUGCGGUACGGCGCAGUCGGCAACGGUAGGCAGUGGUGGAGAGUAUUGCACAAUGGGCGGAAGCGUGAUGCAGCGGCGCCGCGUGCGUAAUGCCGGCCUUCGGGUGAUAAACCGCUUUCGCCUGUGACGAAGCGGGAGUGACGGUAAUGGGUAAAGAAGCACCGGCUAACUACGUG